UAAAGGCAUGGUCCUGACCUUAUUAUUAGCUUUAACCCAACUUACACAUGCAAGUCUCCGCAACCCCGUGAGUAUGCCCUUAAUCCCCUGCCCGGGGACGAGGAGCGGGCAUCAGGCACAAAUUUUUAGCCCAAGACGCCUGGCCGAGCCACACCCCCAAGGGAAUUCAGCAGUGAUAAAUAUUAAGCCAUAAGUGAAAACUGACUCAGUAA
rnacentral:rRNA from 1 species